rnacentral:tRNA from 1 species
GGGUGAUUAGCUCAGUUGGUUAGAGCGCUACGUUGACAUCGUAGAGGUCAGAAGUUCAAAUCUUCCAUCACCCACCA